rnacentral:rRNA from 1 species
GACAGAGGGUGCGAACGUUGUUCGGAAUUACUGGGCGUAAAGCGCAUGUAGGCGGCAGCGCAGGUCGGGCGUGAAAUCCCACGGCUCAACCGUGGAAGUGCACUCGAAACUGCGCAGCUAGAGUCCUGGAGAGGAAGGUGGAAUGCUUGGUGUAGAGGUGAAAUUCGUAGAUAUCAAGCGGAACACCGGUGGCGAAGGCGGCCUUCUGGACAGUGACUGACGCUGAGAUGCGAAAGCGUGGGGAGCAAACAGG